UAUGUGAUCGUCUCUCGCAUAUCAAUAAGCGGAGGAAAAGAAACUAACAAGGAUUCCCCUAGUAACGGCGAGUGAAGCGGGAAGAGCUCAAAUUUGAAAUCUUAAAGGGUUUCCCUUUACGAAUUGUAGUUUAAAGAAGUGUUUUCUGUUGAGGUUUUGGUAAAAGUUCUUUGGAAUAGGACAUCAUAGAGGGUGAGAAUCCCGUAUUUGACCUUUACUUUCAACUUUGUGAUACACUUUCAAAGAGUCGGAUUGUUUGGGAAUGCAGUCCAAAAUGGGUGGUAAAUUUCAUCUAAAGCUAAAUAUUGGCGAGAGACCGAUAGCGAACAAGUACCGUGAGGGAAAGAUGAAAAGAACUUUGAAAAGAGAGUUAAACAGUACGUGAAAUUGUCAAAAGGGAAGCGUUUGACACCAGUGUUGUUUUUCUGAAAAUCAAUUAAAGAACUGUUUAUGCUAAGCUGUUUAGACUUUAUCAGCUAAUCUGUUUAGUUUUGAGCUUUUCUUUAAUGCACUUUUCAGUUAACAAGUCAACAUCAAUUUCUUUUGCUGUAAAAAAGCUUGAGGAAGGUGGCUUGAGAUUCGUCUUAAGUGUUUAUAGCCUCUUGCCUAUGCAGUCGGAGAGAUUGAGGUCUGCAGCGUAGAUCCUUCGGGGCUAAAUGCAUUUGUGCUAAGUUAUAGCAUUUUAUAGACAACUUGUUGACUAUGAUUUGUCUUGUAGCUUACUCGCUUAUGUUAUUUUACCUACGCUUAGGAUGUUGAAUCUGUGCGAGACUAC
rnacentral:rRNA from 1 species